GGCCAGACUCCUACGGGAGGCAGCAGUGGGGGAUAUUGCACAAUGGGGGGAACCCUGAUGCAGCGACGCCGCGUGGGUGAAGGAGCGUUUCGGCGCGUAAAGCCCUAUCGGCAGGGAAGAAGGAGGACGGUACCUGACUAAGAAGCCCCGGCUAACUACGUGCCAGCAGCCGCGGGAAUACGUAGGGGGCAAGCGUUAUCCGGAUUUACUGGGUGUAAAGGGAGCGUAGACGGAAAGGCAAGUCAGAAGUGAAAGCCCAAGGCUCAACCAUGGGACUGCUUUUGAAACUGUCAAACUAGAGUACGGGAGAGGUAAGAGGAAUUCCUAGUGUAGCGGUGAAAUGCGUAGAUAUUAGGAGGAACACCGGCGGCGAAGGCGGCCUGCUGGACCGUGACUGACGUUGAGGCUCGAGAGCGUGGGGAGCAAACAGGAUUAGAUACCCUCGUAU
rnacentral:rRNA from 1 species